rnacentral:rRNA from 1 species
UAAGGAAUAUUGGUCAAUGGAGGCAACUCUGAACCAGCCAUGCCGCGUGCAGGAAGAAGGCCCUAUGGGUCGUAAACUGCUUUUGAACAAGAGAAAACCCCGGUACGUGUACUGGGUUGAUAGUAUUGUUAGAAUAAGCAUCGGCUAACUUCGUGCCAGCAGCCGCGGUAAGACGAAGGAUGCAAGCGUUAUCCGGAUUCAUUGGGUUUAAAGGGUGCGUAGGCGGACUGAUAAGUCAGUGGUGAAAUCUCUCGGCUUAACCGAGAAACUGCCAUUGAUACUGUUAGUCUAGAGUACAGAUGAUGUGGGCGGAAUAUGACAUGUAGUGGUGAAAUACUUAGAUAUGCCAUAGAACACCGAUUGCGAAGGCAGCUCACAAAACUGUAACUGACGCUGAGGCACGAAAGUGCGGGGAUCAAACAGGAUUAGAUACCCCCGUAGUCCCUGAGCGGGCUGGCAAGGCGCAU